CUACAGGUCUCUUGAGAAUUCUCUGUCAUGAAACAGUAAACCGGAAGUUGCAUGCUGCUGUUCUACUUUCAGCACAAAAUAACAAAAUCGAUAUGCAUCUUUGGAGGGAAGAUGAAAUUUACGAGUUUUCAAGAAUAAUACACCACCCUCAUUUGAUCAUCACCAUGAUCGGUCAGGCACUAAAACAUCCAAACACACACAAAAAAGCAGCUGAAAUAUGAAAAGAACAAUGAUAUUGAUACAUGUAGGUCCCUUGAUUUAGCCACUGCAUAUGCCCUCUCAAUGCAGUUAACCGCAUAAGUUCUCAGUCCUCACAUUAACAUUCAGCGAGAGAGAGAGAGAGAGAGA
rnacentral:misc_RNA from 1 species